rnacentral:rRNA from 1 species
CAGAGACUGCAAGCGUUAUUCGGAUUCACUGGGCGUAAAGGGUGCGCAGGCGGUUGGGUGUGUCAGAUGUGAAAUCCCGAGGCUUAACCUCGGAACUGCGUCUGAAACUACUCGACUAGAGUACUGGAGAGGGAAACGGAAUUCACGGUGUAGCAGUGAAAUGCGUAGAUAUCGUGAGGAACACCAGAGGCGAAGGCGGUUUCCUGGACAGUUACUGACGCUCAGGCACGAAAGCAUGGGGAGCAAAAGGGAUUAGAUACCCCCUGUAGUCCAUGCCCUAAACGGUGCACACUAGGUCUUAGCGGAUUCGACCCCACUAGGGCCCAAGCUAACGCGUUAAGUGUGCCGCCUGAGGACUACGGUCGCAAGACUA